rnacentral:rRNA from 1 species
GACGAACGCUGGCGGCGUGCUUAAUACAUGCAAGUCGAACGAAGCACUUUUGACAGAUCCCCUCGGGGUGAAGAUGAUUGUGACUUAGUGGCGGACGGGUGAGUAACGCGUGGGGAACCUGCCUCGUGCCGGGGGAUAACAGUUAGAAAUGACUGCUAAUACCGCAUAAGCGCACAGGAAGGCAUCUUACAGUGUGAAAAGAUUUAUCGGCAUGAGAUGGACCCGCGUCUGAUUAGGUAGUUGGCGGGGUAACGGCCCACCAAGCCCGCGAUCAGUAGCCGACUUGAGAGAGUGAUCGGCCACAUUGGGACUGAGACACGGCCCAGACUCCUACGGGAGGCAGCCGUAGGGAAUAUUGCACAAUGGGGGAAACCCUGAUGCAGCGACGCCGCGUGAGUGAAGAAGUAUUUCGGUAUGUAAAGCUCUAUCAGCAGGGAAGAAAGGCCCGAAAGGGAGAUGACGGUACCUGACUAAGAAGCCCCGGCUAACUACGUGCCAGCCGCCGCGGUAAAAC